AGCACGUGCUACACCACCCAGCCCCUGGCUGUCUGACACCUUAGACUGACCUCAGGGCAGCUGAGAGGAAAUGGUGGAAAUCUAAAGAUCCAGCAGAUCCAGCAGAUCUAGAACAAGCUGCUGGAUGAAAAUCAGUCAGGCUUCAAAAGUGGACACUCCACAGAGACUGCCCUGCUUUCUGUCACUGAGUCACUGAGACAGGCGAAAGCUGAAUCCAGAUAAUCCAUCCUGAUACUGCUGGACCUUUCUGCAGCCUUUGACACAAUCAACCAUCAGAUCUUACUCUCUACCCUCUCCUCGUUGGGCAUCACAGGAACUGUGCUUGACUGGUUUAAUUCCUAUCUCUCAGCCCAACGACACCACAGUGACUGCUCAAAUCUUUGCCUGCCUGGCAGACAUCUCGGUCUGGAUGAAGGAACACCACCUGCAACUCAACCCAGCCAAGACCGAACUCCUUGUCUUUCCAGCCAACCCUGCUGUUGAACACAACAUCACCGUGCAGCUGGGUGCAACUACAGUAACGCCUUCCAAAACGGUCAGAAAUCUAGGGGUAACCAUCGAUAACCAAAUCAGUUACUCAGACCACAUCUCAAAGACUGCACGAUCAUGUAGAUUUACACUCUACAAUAUCAGGAAGAUAAGACACACUACACUACACGCACACACACACACUACACACACACACACACAAACACACU